GACGAACGCUGGCGGCGUGCUUAACACAUGCAAGUCGAACGGAAAGGCCCUGCUUUUGUGGGGUGCUCGAGUGGCGAACGGGUGAGUAACACGUGAGUAACCUGCCCUUGACUUUGGGAUAACUUCAGGAAACUGGGGCUAAUACCGGAUAGGAGCUCCUGCUGCAUGGUGGGGGUUGGAAAGUUUCGGCGGUUGGGGAUGGACUCGCGGCUUAUCAGCUUGUUGGUGGGGUAGUGGCUUACCAAGGCUUUGACGGGUAGCCGGCCUGAGAGGGUGACCGGCCACAAUGGGACUGAGAGACGGCGCAGACUCCUACGGGAGGCAGCAGGGGGGAAUAUUGCACAAUGGGCGGAAGCCUGAUGCAGCAACGCCGCGUGCGGGAUGACGGCCUUCGGGUUGUAAACCGCUUUCGCCGGUGACGAAGCGUGAGUGACGGUAAUGGGUAAAGAAGCACCGGCUAACUACGUG
rnacentral:rRNA from 1 species